rnacentral:rRNA from 1 species
UACAGAGACUGCAAGCGUUAUUCGGAUUCACUGGGCGUAAAGGGUGCGCAGGCGGCCGUGUGUGUCAGAUGUGAAAGCCCGGGGCUUAACCCCGGAACUGCGUCUGAAACUACACGGCUAGAGCAUUGGAGAGGGAAGUGGAAUUCAUGGUGUAGCAGUGAAAUGCGUAGAUAUCAUGAGGAACACCAGAGGCGAAGGCGACUUCCUGGACAAUAGCUGACGCUCAGGCACGAAAGCGUGGGUAGCAAAAGGG